AUUGAACGCUGGCGGCAGGCCUAACACAUGCAAGUCGAGCGAGCGGCGGACGGGUGAGUAAUGUCUGGGAAACUGCCCGAUAGAGGGGGAUAACUACUGGAAACGGUAGCUAAUACCGCAUACCAUCGGAUGUGCCCAUAUGGGAUUAGCUUGUAGGUGGGGUAACGGCUCACCAAGGCGACGAUCUCUAGCUGGUCUGAGAGGAUGACCAGCCACACUGGAACUGAGACACGGUCCAGACUCCUACGGGAGGCAGCAGGGGGGAAUAUUGCACAAUGGGCGCAAGCCUGAUGCAGCCAUGCCGCGUGUAUGAAGAAGGCCUUCGGGUUGUAAAGUACUUUCAGCGGGGAGGCGUUACCCGCAGAAGAAGCACCGGCUAACUCCGUGCCAGCAGCCGCGGUAAUAC
rnacentral:rRNA from 1 species